rnacentral:rRNA from 1 species
UUGUAGAUUGUAAUUUCAGUGGCGAACGGGUGAGUAAUGAGUACGAACGUACUCCGAAGCGGACCAUAGCCUACCGAAAGGUAGGGUAAUAGUCCAUAGUCUCGCAAGAGUAAAGGCGCAAGCCACUUCGGAAGCGGCGUACUUGCUACCAGCUAGUUGGUGGGGUAAUGGCCUACCAAGGCGAUGGCGGCUACCGGCUCUUAGCGGAGAGUCCGGCACAAUGGGACUGAGACACGGCCCAUACACCUACGGGUGGCAGCAGUUAGGAAUCUUGCGCAAUGGACGAAAGUCUGACGCAGCGAUACCGCGUGAAGGAUGAAGGCCCUCGGGUCGCAAACUUCUUUUAUUGAAUACAACUUUUCGAUGAAUAAGCAACUACUAACUACGUGCCAGCAGUCGCGGUAAUACGUAGGUUGCAAGCGUUACCCGGUUUUUAUUGGGCGUAAAGAGUCUGUAGGCGGCCUUAUAAGUCUUGUUUCAAAGACUCCGACUCAAUCGGAGAAAGGGGCAGGAUACUGUUAGGCUAGAGUUAUAUCGGGGUUACUGGAAUUUGCAGUGUAGGGGUAAAAUCCGUGGAUACUGCAAAGAACACCAAGCGCGAAGGCGGGUAACCAGAUAUUUUCUGACGCUCAGAGACGAAAGCUAGGGUAGCCAAUCAGAUUAGAGACCUGAGUAGUCCUAGCUGUAAACAUUGUCCGUUAAUUCUCUGGUUUUUAACUAGGGGAUGCAAGCUAACGCGUUAAACAGACCGCCUGGGGAGUAUAGCCGCAAGGCCGAAACUCAAACGAAUUGGCGGGGAGGCGCACAACCAGUGGAGCAUGUGGUUCAAUUCGAUACGAAGCGAUGAACCUUACCUGGGUUUGAAAUGUACCUGCAAGCCUGAGAGAUCAGGAAGCCUUCGAGGGUGGUACACAGCUGUUGCAUGGCUGUCAUCAGCUCGUGACGUGAGUUGUUCUCUUAAGUGAGGUAACGAGCGCAACCCCCAUCCGGUGUUACUGUGUCACCGGAGACUGCCUAGCAUUAUUUUGUUAGGAGGAAGGAGGGGACGAUGUCAAGUCAGCAUGAUGCUUAUGUCCAGGGCUACACACAUCCUACAAUGGGGUGUACAGAGGGUUGCAAUACCGCAAGGUGGAGCUAAUCCUUAAAACAUCCCUCAGUUGGGAUUGCAGGCUGAAACUCGCCUGCAUGAACCCGGAAUUGGUAGUAAUCGCGGAUCAGCAGCCCGCGGUGAAUACGUUCUCGCCUCUUGCACACACUGCCCGUCAAAUCAGC